GAUCCUGGCUCAGGACGAACGCUGGCGGCGUGCCUAAUACAUGCAAGUAGAACGCACAGGAUGCACCGUAGUUUACUACACCGUAUUCUGUGAGUUGCGAACGGGUGAGUAACGCGUAGGUAACCUGCCUGGUAGCGGGGGAUAACUAUUGGAAACGAUAGCUAAUACCGCAUAAGAACAUUUACUGCAUGGUAGAUGUUUAAAAGGUGCAAAAGCAUCACUACCAGAUGGACCUGCGUUG
rnacentral:rRNA from 1 species